GCGACAACGACGGCUUGCUAGGGUUCCUCGCCUCCAUCUUCGUCCCCUCGCCAUGAGUAGCUGGAACAGCCACUACAAGUCCUCGUGCAACUUCGCGGCUUAUGAAGAAGUCGACAAAGGCGAAGAGAGCACCAACAAGGCGUAUAUACGAAACCCAUCUCCAGCCCCCGUCUAGCGGCAGCUAUGUGACGUGGACAUGCUCAACCGCGAGCUUGUCGCAUCAAAGGAGAGUACAGUGAAGGCCCUCAGGGAGUUGAAUAACUCCCUGUGGAACGAGAGGGAUCAAAUCAUCAAUGACAACUCGGAUUACUACGAUAGGAAACUGAAGCUCAAUGACCAGAAGGACAAACUGGUCACCGAGAUCGAUUCUCUGAAGAAGGAGAUACGGCUCCUGAAGGACAAGCGGGUGGAACUCAAGACGCUGAAAGUCCAUUACAGGAAGGAGGGGGAGCAACAAGAACAAGUGCGAGAGAUGAAGAUCAUUCUUCAGAGAGAUGUAAUGCGCAUAAGUCAGUAGUUUGGACGUAUUAUCAAAGUUGGCGGUCACUUUUGCUUCUAGCUAGCUAGUAUACUAAUGUUUGUGGAUUUGAAGUUAUCACUAGAAGUACUAACCUUUUGUGAGUAAGUUUAAAUAGCUGCAUAUAUACUAGG